AUUGAACGCUGGCGGAAUGCUUUACACAUGCAAGUCGAACGGCAGCACGGGAGCUUGCUCCUGGUGGCGAGUGGCGAACGGGUGAGUAACAUAUCGGAACGUACCUAGUAAUGGGGGAUAACUAUCCGAAAGGAUGGCUAAUACCGCAUACGCCCUGAGGGGGAAAGCGGGGGAUCGUAAGACCUCGCGUUAUUAGAGCGGCCGAUAUCUGAUUAGCUAGUUGGUGGGGUAAAAGCCCACCAAGGCGACGAUCAGUAGCUGGUCUGAGAGGACGACCAGCCACACUGGAACUGAGACACGGUCCAGACUCCUACGGGAGGCAGCAGUGGGGAAUUUUGGACAAUGGGCGCAAGCCUGAUCCAGCCAUUCCGCGUGAGUGAAGAAGGCCUUCGGUUGUAAGCUCUUCGUCAGGAAGAAACGAUAGCAGUCGAAUAAACUAGACGUUAAUAGACGGUACCGUUACGAUAAGAAGACACCGGCCGUAACUAACGUGUCCACGCAGCCGCGGUAAACCUACG
rnacentral:rRNA from 1 species